rfam:Schistosoma haematobium scaffold1187_14, whole genome shotgun sequence.
AUCCAGCUGAUGAGUCCCAAAUAGGACGAAACGCACGUCAAACUGGAU